AUUGAACGCUGGCGGCAGGCCUAACACAUGCAAGUCGAGCGGUAGAGAGAAGCUUGCUUCUCUUGAGAGCGGCGGACGGGUGAGUAAUGCCUAGGAAUCUGCCUGGUAGUGGGGGAUAACGUUCGGAAACGGACGCUAAUACCGCAUACGUCCUACGGGAGAAAGCAGGGGACCUUCGGGCCUUGCGCUAUCAGAUGAGCCUAGGUCGGAUUAGCUAGUUGGUGGGUAAUGGCUCACCAAGGCGACGAUCCGUAACUGGUCUGAGAGGAUGAUCAGUCACACUGGAACUGAGACACGGUCCAGACUCCUACGGGAGGCAGCAGUGGGGAAUAUUGGACAAUGGGCGAAAGCCUGAUCCAGCCAUGCCGCGUGUGUGAAGAAGGUCUUCGGAUUGUAAAGCACUUUAAGUUGGGAGGAAGGGCAGUUACCUAAUACGUGAU
rnacentral:rRNA from 1 species